GACGUAGGGCGCGAGCGUUGUCCGGAUUUAUUGGGCGUAAAGAGCGUGUAGGCGGUUAGGUAGGUCCGUUGUGAAAACUCGAGGCUCAACCUCGAGACGCCGAUGGAAACCAUCUGACUAGAGUCCGGAAGAGGAGAGUGGAAUUCCUGGUGUAGCGGUGAAAUGCGCAGAUAUCAGGAAGAACACCCGUGGCUAAGGCGGCUCUCUAGUACGGUACUGACGCUGAGACGCGAAAGCGUGGGGAGCGAACAGG
rnacentral:rRNA from 1 species